rnacentral:rRNA from 1 species
AACGAACGCUGGCGGCAGGCUUAACACAUGCAAGUCGAACGCCCCGCAAGGGGAGUGGCAGACGGGUGAGUAACGCGUGGGAAUCUACCCAGUUCUACGGAAUAACCCAGGGAAACUUGGACUAAUACCGUAUACGCCCUACGGGGGAAAGAUUUAUCGGAAUUGGAUGAGCCCGCGUUGGAUUAGCUAGUUGGUGGGGUAAUGGCCUACCAAGGCGGCGAUCCAUAGCUGGUCUGAGAGGAUGAUCAGCCACACUGGGACUGAGACACGGCCCAGACUCCUACGGGAGGCAGCAGUGGGGAAUAUUGGACAAUGGGCGCAAGCCUGAUCCAGCCAUGCCGCGUGAGUGAUGAAGGCCUUAGGGUUGUAAAGCUCUUUCAGUGGGGACGAUAAUGACGGUACCCACAGAAGAAGCCCCGGCUAACUUCGUGCCAGCAGCCGCGGUAACAC